rnacentral:rRNA from 1 species
UACGUAGGGUGCGAGCGUUGUCCGGAAUUAUUGGGCGUAAAGAGCUUGUAGGCGGUUUGUCGCGUCUGCUGUGAAAAUCCGGGGCUCAACCCCGGACUUGCGGUGGGUACGGGCAGACUAGAGUGUGGUAGGGGAGACUGGAAUUCCUGGUGUAGCGGUGAAAUGCGCAGAUAUCGGGAGGAACACCUAUGGCGAAGGCAGCUCGCUGGGACGUUACUGACGCUGAGACGCGAAAGCGUGGGGAGCAAACAGG